rnacentral:rRNA from 1 species
CGCGGCCUAUCAGCUUGUUGGCGGGGCAACGGCCCACCAAGGCGACGACGGGUAGCUGGUCUGAGAGGACGGCCAGCCACACUGGGACUGAGACACGGCCCAGACUCCUACGGGAGGCAGCAGUGGGGAAUCUUGCGCAAUGGGCGAAAGCCUGACGCAGCGACGCCGCGUGGGGGAUGAAGGCCCUCGGGUUGUAAACCCCUUUCGGCAGGGACGAAGCGAAAGUGACGGUACCUGCAGAAGAAGCUCCGGCUAACUACGUGCCAGCAGCCGCGGUAAGACGUAGGGAGCGAGCGUUGUCCGGAUUUAUUGGGCGUAAAGCGCGCGUAGGCGGCCGUGCAAGUCGGUUGUGAAAUUCCGGGGCUCAACCCCGGGACUGCGUCCGAUACUGUGCGGCUCGAGGCAGGCAGGGGAGAGUGGAAUUCCCGGUGUAGCGGUGAUAUGCGCAGAUAUCGGGAGGAACACCGGUGGCGAAGGCGGCUCUCUGGGCCUGUCCUGACGCUCAGGCGCGAAAGCUAGGGGAACGAACAGGAUUAGAUACCCUGGUAGUCCUAGCCGUAAACGUUGGGCGCUAGGUGUGGGGAGAUAUCGACCCUUUCCGUGCCGAAGCUAACGCAUUAAGCGCCCCGCCUGGGGAGUACGG